UACGUAGGGUGCAAGCGUUGUCCGGAAUUAUUGGGCGUAAAGAGCUCGUAGGCGGUUUGUCGCGUCUGCUGUGAAAACCCGAGGCUCAACCUCGGGCCUGCAGUGGGGUACGGGCAGACUAGAGUGCGGUAGGGGGAGAUUGGAAUUCCUGGUGUAGCGGUGGAAUGCGCAGAUAUCAGGGAGGAACACCAAUGGCGAAGGCAGAUCUCUGGGCCGUAACUGACGCUGAGGAGCGAAAGCAUGGGGGAGCGAACAGG
rnacentral:rRNA from 1 species